ensembl:lncRNA
CUGCCAUCUGCUGAAUCUGACAGAAAGUGAUUUGUGUGUUCCUGUCUCUCCGGUGGAGGUUUCAGCCUUCCUAAAUGGGAGGAGAAGGCAGGUCCCCCCACAGAUGUGCUUAUCGUAGCGUAGGAGCUGAUGUUGCAGGGUGUAGGCUUACAUGCUGCACUUGAUAGUUCCCAUCACCCCAGUGGCAGCAAGAAAGGGAGGGGGCCUGAGGUGGAUGACACAUCAACCCACAGAAGAAAUAUUCACCAGGGGACAUGGGGCAUCAUUGGAUGAGGGCAGUGGUGGUUCUGGUAGAUGAAUGUGUUGAUUUUAUGUGGCUAGCCUUACUUCUCCUGAUAGGGAGGCCAAGGUAGUGUGGGUUCUUCUGACCUGCACUCCUGCCACCAGUGCCCAAAAUGACUGGGAGCAGCAUGGCUGGGGUCCUGCCUUCUCUCAUCAGCUCUUGAAGACUUGGUGGCACUCCUGUCUGUAGGAAGCUGGCAGUUUAGCCAGUUUCCAGAAAAUAUGGAACUUGCUUCAAGAGGUUACGUUGUGAGUACCAUGGCAGGCACUGAUAAAUCCAGGCGUCCGAUCUCAGCAGGUUGGAUUAUCUAUUGAGCUGCCCUGGCCUUUCCCUGCUGCAGAACAGGUCUUCUACUGGUGCAGAAAGAGCUGGAGCUGCGCUUGCCUCUCCUCUCUAGGCAAAUCACCAAGAAAGGAGGAGAAUAAAAAGAAAUAAAGGAGGAGAAGGGAAGAGCGGCAGAUAAAAGGAGGGAAAAAUGAGAGGAAAAUGAAGACAAAAAAUGGAAGAGGAAGAAAGGAAGGAGGUAGUGAAGAGAAUAAAGGAGAGGUGAAGCAAGAAGACAAAAGAAGAAAAAUAAAAGGAAGAGAAAAAAUGGAAAAGACAAAAGAAAGCAAACAGAAGAAAGAAAAAUAAAAGAAAGAAUGAGAGAAGGAAGUAAAAAAUGUUGUGAGUACAGUAAGCAUGGCAAAAGAGAAGCAGGGCUUUUUGGAUGCAAAUAUGAAAAUAUCGAGGGAUUCAACACAAACAUCUCAUUACCCCAAAUUAAGUCAAUACAACUAUAAUAGAAGAAAGAUCAGAGAGAAUGGAAUUGUAGUUGCAAUAAUGCUGGAGCCACACAGAAAAAGGCUUUGAACAGGGGUACACAAAACCAGAAAAAAUAAAGAAGGAAAAAAAACCUCUCCCACACAUUAUUUGUUGUUUCUACUUCUGUUGGCUUCUUUCCUCGGGGGAAAAUAGAAAUACAAUACCAGACAUUUUAUAUACAUGUAUAUAUGUGUAGAGAGGAGAGUCUUCUAGCAAAUCUCUUUAAAAACAAAGGGUGCGGGGUAAGUGCGACCAAGGAGCAGCGUGGGGGAAGGUGUGGGGAUGCAUGCAGAUAGGGG